rnacentral:tRNA from 1 species
GGGCCUGUGGUCCAAUGGUACGACGUCGCUUUCACACGGCGAAGGUUGCAGGUUCGAUUCCUGCCGGGCCCA